UACUAGGUUUGUAAUCUUAGUAUAAACGUAAUUAGAUAUUACUGCGUCAACUUUUUCAUGGAAUUGGUGUGUUUAUUUGGCAGGACUGCCUUGCAUGUAUAAAUUAGGAAAUUAAGAAUUCGACGGGAAAUGCUAUAAUGAUGAAGAGAAUUGAUGGUUUUUCGGGAAAUUAAAAGAUUCGGAUGUUUGGUGAGUGCCCACUGGACUUUACUUUUCUGUGAUUUUUUGGCAUAUUCUU
rnacentral:lncRNA from 1 species